GAUGAACGCUAGCGACAGGCUUAACACAUGCAAGUCGAGGGGCAGCAUAAAAGUAGCAAUACUUUGGUGGCGACCGGCGCACGGGUGAGUAACGCGUAUGCAACCUACCUAUCAGAGGGGAAUAACCCGGCGAAAGUCGGACUAAUACCGCAUAAAACAGGGGCACCGCAUGGUGAUAUUUGUUAAAGAAAUUCGCUGAUAGAUGGGCAUGCGUUCCAUUAGGUAGUUGGUGAGGUAACGGCUCACCAAGCCGACGAUGGAUAGGGGAACUGAGAGGUUGGUCCCCCACACUGGUACUGAGACACGGACCAGACUCCUACGGGAGGCAGCAGUGAGGAAUAUUGGUCAAUGGGCGGGAGCCUGAACCAGCCAAGUCGCGUGAAGGAAGAAGGAUCUAUGGUUCGUAAACUUCUUUUGCAGGGGAAUAAAGUGCGGACGUGUCCUGUUUGUAUGUACCCUGAGAAUAAGGAUCGGCUAACUCCGUGCCAGCAGCCGCGGUAAU
rnacentral:rRNA from 1 species